ACGCCGAUGGUGAAACGGUUAUCAUGCUUGCCUUCCAUUCUAAGAGAGCAAGCGGUAGGGGUUCGACUCCCCUUCGGCGUA
rnacentral:tRNA from 1 species